CAUGUACUUCCUCCGUUCUAAAAUUUUUGUCUUGAAUUUGUCUAGAUAUGGUUGUAUCUACUCACGUUUUAGUAUCUAAAUGCAUCCAUUUCUAAAAAAAACUAAGGCAAGAAUUUUGAGACAGAGGAAGUAUAUC
rfam:Hordeum vulgare subsp. vulgare, WGS project CAJW01000000 data, contig: morex_contig_44366